GGAUUAGAUACCCUGGUAGUCCUAGCUGUAAACGAUGGAUACUAGGUGUUGCGCGUAUCGACCCGUGCAGUACCGUAGCCAACGCGAUAAGUAUCCCGCCUGGGGAGUACGCACGCAAGUGUGAAACUCAAAGGAAUUGACGGGGGCCCGCACAAGCGGUGGAGUAUGUGGUUUAAUUCGAUGCAACGCGAAGAACCUUACCAGGGCUUGACAUCCCGCGAAUCUUUCAGAAAUGAGAGAGUGCCUUCGGGAACGCGGAGACAGGUGGUGCAUGGCUGUCGUCAGCUCGUGCUG
rnacentral:rRNA from 1 species